rnacentral:rRNA from 1 species
UACGUAGGGUGCAAGCGUUGUCCGGAAUUAUUGGGCGUAAAGAGCUCGUAGGCGGUCUGUUGCGUCCGCUGUGAAAACUCGGGGCUUAACCCCGAGCCUGCAGUGGAUACGGGCAGACUAGAGGUAGGUAGGGGAGAAUGGAAUUCCCGGUGUAGCGGUGAAAUGCGCAGAUAUCGGGAGGAACACCGGUGGCGAAGGCGGUUCUCUGGGCCUUACCUGACGCUGAGGAGCGAAAGCGUGGGGAGCAAACGGG